rnacentral:rRNA from 1 species
UUAGAGGAAGAGGAGCUGGUAUCAGGCUCAACAUGCCCAUGACACCUAGCCCAACCACACCCCCAAGGGUAUUCAGCAGUGAUCAACAUUGUAAACUAGCGAAAGCUAAAUUCAGUUACCAGCUAAAAAAACCGGUCAAUCUCGUGCCAGCCGCCGCGGUUAUACGGGCAGGUUUAAUUUGAUAACGUCGGCUCAAAGCGUGGUUAGAUUCUCACCUCAAUAAAGCAAAAAAAAAGCCCGGCUGUGAUAUGCUUUCGCUUUUAAUAACCCCGAUCACGAAAGUAGCUUUAACCCUAAUUGAAUCCACGAUCGCUAGGGCACAAACUGGGAUUAGAUACCCCACUAUGCCUAGCCCUAAACUUUGAUUUAUCCGCCUGGGAACUACGAGCGUCAGCUUAAAACCCAAAAGACUUGGCGGUGCCCUAUACCACCUAGAGGAGCCUGUUCUGUAAUCGAUAAUCCCCGAUCAACCUCACCUUCUCUUGCCAAUACCGCCUGUAUACCUCCGUCACCAACUGACCCCGUAAGGGCAAAAGUCAGUUAAAUGGCUUCCCUCCAGUAAGUCAGGUCAAGGUGCAGCGAAUGAGAAGGGAAGAAAUGGGCUACAUUUUCUACUAAUAGACUAUACGAAAGAUCACUAUGAAAGCUGAUUGGAAGGUGGAUUUAGCAGUAAAAAGAGACUAGAGCGCUCUUUUUAAGUUGGCUCUAGGGCGCGUACACACCGCCCGUC